rnacentral:rRNA from 1 species
CCUACGGGGGGCAGCAGUGGGGAAUAUUGCACAAUGGGGGAAACCCUGAUGCAGCGACGCCGCGUGAGUGAAGAAGUAUUUAGGUAUGUAAAGCUCUAUCAGCAGGGAAGAAAAUGACGGUACCUGAUUAAGAAGCCCCGGCUAACUACGUGCCAGCAGCCGCGGUUAUACGUAGGGGGCAAGCGUUAUCCGGAUUUACUGGGUGUAAAGGGAGUGUAGACGGCAGAACAAGUCUGGAGUGAAAUGCCCGGGCCUAACCCCGGAACUGCUUUGGAAACUGGGAAGCUAGAGUGCAGGAGAGGUAUGUGGAAUUCGUGGUGUAGCGGUGAAAUGCGUAGAUA